rnacentral:rRNA from 1 species
UGGUGUCAGCCGCCGCGGUAAAACCAGCACCUCAAGUGGUCAGGAUGAUUAUUGGGCCUAAAGCAUCCGUAGCCGGCUCUGUAAGUUUUCGGUUAAAUCUGUACGCUUAACGUACAGGCUGCCGGGAAUACUGCAGAGCUAGGGAGUGGGAGAGGUAGACGGUACUCGGUAGGAAGUGGUAAAAUGCUUUGAUCUAUCGAUGACCACCUGUGGCGAAGGCGGUCUACCAGAACACGUCCGACGGUGAGGGAUGAAAGCUGGGUGAGCAAACCGGAUUAGAUACCCGGGUAGUCCCAGCUGUAAACUAUGCAAACUCAGUGAUGCAUUGGCUUGUGGCCAAUGCAGUGCUGCAGGGAAGCCGUUAAGUUUGCCGCCUGGGAAGUACGUACGCAAGUAUGAAACUUAAAGGAAUUGGCGGGGGAGCACCACAAGGGGUGAAGCCUGCGGUUC